CGAGGAGCAGCACGCAGCGUCGCGCGCACGUCCAUGCGACUCUGCUCAGUCUCUCUCCCCCUCGCCCCACACCUUCUGCCUGAUCACACGCAUUCAUUCUCAGUCGCUGGCCGCGAGUCUUGCAGCAUACAGAAACACUGACAAAAAAAAUAAGAAACGGUAGCACGCACGUUGCGGGUAGUCUCAGCCACGCACACACACACACGCACACGUGCGCGCCCUCUCCUCCUCCCUCUCCGACUUGCUUUCCUCCAGUCCACGUUGCUGGUUUGACUGUUGCCGCUGCAUGCGUUGGGCGAAGGUGGCCGCCACCGCGUCUCUGGAGCAUUCACCUGCAGCUGAGCUGCUGCUGUUGUUGUCGACGCGUUCGCACGGGUUGCAGCCGCUGCUCUUCCCACUUAUUCUAUCGGUCUCCCCCUCCCCCCAACCACCACCACCACCCCUCUUCCUCGCUUUCUUGUGCGCCUGCGGGGCUCUCUGAGUGGCGGAGUCUGCUUUGGCAGGGCUGUCUCUGUGCGCGCUCGGAGGCGGAGCAGCGGUCAGCACUUGGCGGAAGCGGCAUCGGGUCCUUCUCUUCCCCAACUCAGCUGUCAAAGAGAAGGAAAAGGGGAGGUGGCGCCGUUGUCCUCGUUGCCCGUCGCUCUCCUCCUCGUGUGUGGGCGUGCAGGUGGCCUUUGAGGACUGUGCGUGCACCAACGAAGUACACGCGCAUCCCUUCACGCGAUCUCCAGUUGUCUUUGGCGCUACGCACCACUGUCACCUUCCUCCCCCUAGCGAAGCAUGAACAACGAGGUGAAGCCCUCUGAUCACGAGUCCUCGUCAGCAGCGCCUUCAGCUCAUGCUGCUGAGUGCCAGAACGGCAAUACCAACGGUAGCGAGGUUUCCUCGAGCUCGAGCUCGAGCUUCGCCCUUGAGCAUGUACUGGACGAGAAUGACAGCGAACUCUUCUCGGCUGCGGAUGUACCCUCGGCGAAUCCUUCCGUCCUCGAUCCUCAUGCCGGUGGUCCACACGGACGUAACAGCCCACCUAGGAAAGCGUUCGCGCGGGCAUUAAGGUCAUGCAGAGGGCGGGCCACCGUAGUGGAAAUCGAAAACGCCGUGCCGUCCGUACCAGCCGCGCCUGUGCAGCUGGCGCAGCAAUCCUUUCAACGCUGCGAUAGCGGUGCUCAUCCGCCGGCAAAAGCAGUUGCUUCAGGCUCCCCAGCCCAGUCGCCUCAGCAACUCAUCGACUGGUAUACACGCUCCUACGACAGCGGCGUCGAGGCGACAUACCACUACGUGGUGGCACUCAUAAACCUCGGCUCUGGUGAGACGGGCGUGGGGGAAGUAGUGCUCGGCGCCUUGCGCGACGAGCUUGGCACGAAGCGUGUCAUGACCCUGCGCGGGGAGGUGUUCAUGAACCCCGCCCCGCUACGUCUUCUCAUCAAGCGGCAGGCCGUCAUCUAUCACACCCUUGGCCGACCACCGUGUCAGCAGCGCGGCACCGUCGUUGUGUGCGGCGGCGACGGCACCGUGUCGUUUAUCAUGACACAACUGGAUCUCGUGCGCCGCGAGCUAGAGGACGAGUUUCAGCCCUUCCUCACCGCGUCUCAGGUGCAGCAGGUGCAGCUGCACCGUGAGAACUCUGCCUUCGUCACGUCCAGCUUGCGCGAUAAGCUGGUGCAUCCGUACUUCACGAUGCCUGCCCUCGCACCGCUCCCACUCGGUACUGGAAACGACUACAGCAACUGUGUGGGCUUCGGCUAUGCCUUUGCAUCCAGUAGGAGCGACUGGCGUAGAUUUUGCGCCCUUUGCGGAUGCGGCGUCGACGCCGGCGCGCAGGUGGCCACGGCCUUGUGUGAUGCCGUGACAGCCCCGUGCGUGGGCUUCGACCGGUGGGAGGCCUCGCUGGUGCCGCUGCGAGUGGCGCAAGCAGCGGUGCGGUCCGAGUCGUCGCAAGCAGCGGCUGAGGCGACACAGGGGGCAGCCCCGAACGCGCCCUCCAAGGUCAGGGUCGCGCCCUCGGAGCAUGCCGCUGCCUCCGCAGGCGCCCGGGCCCUGCACUCGCCGCUGUGGAACCGCGCCGCUCGGCCCACAAACGUGGCAAACGCGGUGUGCCUUGUCGACUGGGCCAAAGUGCACGCGAGCGGGCAGUGCGCCACGUACGGAGUCAUCAACUACCUGGGCGUGGGCUUCGACGCCUACGUGGUGAAGAAAUUUGACGAUACCCGCCGCGCGCACCCGACGGUGUGCCGUACUCGCGCGCAGAACAAGGCCGUGUACGGGGUGAUGGGGAUCAGGGCCUCGCUCAGGUGCAAAAAGCUGUACAAGAUCAUACCAAUGGUCUGCGUGCCGCGUCCGCAGCUGAGCGGGGUUGGCGUCGCUGCCGCUGCGACGAGAAGUAUGGGUAGCACACGCGACUUUGUGGCACUGCAGCUGCCCUCCACGGCGAAGGCGUUGGUGCUGACGAACGUGAACUGUUACUCCGCCGGCACUCACCCGUGGAAUCCGAAGCGCGGCAAACUGCACUACCGCCCGGUCACGCUCCGCAACGGAAAGGUGACUCCAACACUCACGACCAUCUCUAGCGGCGCUGCCGUAGAAACGCCUCCGACACCACCGACCCCUCAGCCGGUGGCCAUCAACGACUGCGCCUUCGAGCUGCAGACGAUGGGCGGCGUGCUGCACUACACCUCUCUGGGCAUCGGGCUCAGCACUUCCACGAAGCUUAUUCAGACGGACGAGAUGUUCGUUUUUGUUCUCUGCACGCCCGACGAUUUGCACUUUCCGAGUGGGCAGUGCUCCGCCUACACGCAGCUGAACCUGAAAGAGAAGUACGAGUCCCGCAUCGAGUCCGACAGCAGCGUGCGCGCAAGCUUGAACGUGCAGAUCGACGGCGAGCCAAUGCCGCCUAUCACCGAGUCGACGAUCAUCCACGUACGCCCGCAGCCAGGGACGCGGGUGCUUAUCCGCUGCCGCAGCGCCAGCGUCGUUCAGUGAGGCCCGUGGAGCAGAAGGACGGGCAUUGAGGACGCGUUACGCGAUGUCGAACGAACCCAUUCUCCUCGUCUCUUGCGACUCAACACUGCGAAGCUCGGCUUGUGUGUGUAUGUGUGUGUGUGUGUGUGUGUAGUAUCGACACCAGAAAAAGAAGCACAAGAGAAGGAGACGCCGUGCGCGCUUCAAGCUCG
rnacentral:misc_RNA from 1 species